rnacentral:misc_RNA from 1 species
GAACAUCGAUAAUCGCCCCCAGUCGUUGCUGCUCCCCACCCACCCUCUCAACCGUGUUGCUGAGUUACAUGGCACAUGUAUACCUCCUCGAUGUGAGUUACCUCGCACCCUUUGAGGCGUGCUUGCCGCGGGGUUUGUCUGAGCCGCCGCUCUCGUGGCGGUGUGCGGCGGAGCUGGCUCAAUGGACGUCCGUAGCGGCGGUUGGGAACGCUUGGGUAGCGGCGUGUGCAGAGGCAACAGCGGCCACGACGGUGACAGGAGUGUCGGCGCACGAAACGCCUGUUAACUCUGGCGUCGCAUCGUGUAAGCCAGGCAGGGAAGGCUACAUGCGACUCAGCGAUGACGAUGACGGUGAUCAGGCUGAGGCUGCCGCACCGUCCACCGUCAUCCCAAUGGAAGUCGUCGCGCCAAGCCGCCACAUGUACGUCAUCCACACCUUCCCCUCCGCAGUUCUUAUCCAAAACAAGUACUUCAGCACAACGCUGACCCUCGUGACGGGGGCGCCGCUGCGGCCUCUCUCGUGCAACGGGCAUGAUCGUGCCUCUCCGUCGGAUCAGCGCGACAUCACGGCUGAUCUCCUGCGCAAGUGUGCUAGUGGCCAGAGUGGCAGCGGCGCACCCGUCUCUCAUGUCGACGAUGGCGCUAGCUACGGUGGAGUUCUACUUGCGCACAUUACGCAAGAUCCAGCGGGCGUUCCGUGGCACGCCUUUCCACUAAGCGGGUGUCUCUUCCAUGUCAUCAUGGUUUUUCACAACAGCGAAACAGACGUGGACAUGAGCGAAGUAGCAGCAGCGGCGCCAGAGUCCCUGGCCGCCAUGAAGGCCCGACGGAGCAGACAGGACGCCGACGUGUUCUGCCGUCCUCUCAAAGAUGCCACCAUGCGCACGGCUGACACUCUUGACGAUGCGCCGACGUCGCUGCUGCAGCUGAAGGAGCGCUGGAAGUGCUUCGCAGCGGAGAAUGGAUACGAGUGCAUCUUUCAUGCCACGGGAUGUCCUCAACGUGCGGCGACACAUACGGCGGCCUCCAUGAAGAGCGGCGGGCGUGCACUUGGCGGCUCAGCGAAAGACGUUCAGCUGGAGUGCGUUAGCGCCGAUUCUGGCCGUCGCGGCUUGCUUGAAGCCCCACUUGCUGGGUCGAGUCGGCUCUACCAGAUCCUGUGCAAUACGCUGUGGCCAGCUGGCGUCCGUCGUGCAGCUGCCGUGGCGUCAGGUGCACGGAGCGACGGCCACGGUGAGCAGGAGAACAACGCCGUCACGCAGGCACCAAAGCCACUGAAGCCGCACUCUGGGAACGCGUUUGUCGUGGUGGGCAACGACGAAGAUGCGAUGUGGCGUCUCUUCCAGCAGCAAGAUUACGGGUGCGCGCAUGUGCUGCAGCGUCGUUUUCGCUUCUUCACCUCCGUCGUCAGCUUGCCUGCUGACCCUGCCGCCCCGACUGAGGGACCGCGAAUGGCCGAGGGUAAGCUCGGCGCCGCUGCGGCACGACGCACCCGCGUCGCUCUUGUGAACCAGUACUACGCGGCAGUAGUGCAGCCGCGGCUGGUGCAGACCGCCUUCUUUGACGCCCGCAUGCAGGAGCUGCUGGACCGAUACUGGGAGCAGCACAUGAUAGCUGAGGGCGGUAGUGAUGGCCUCUGCCCCGAUGCGCCGGCGGUGGUUUUGUGGCCGCCAAGCUCUUCGGCGUCAUGCGCUGCCCGUUCUGAGAACGAGACUCGGGGCGCGGCAGCCAUCCCUGUCGACGCCGACGGCGAAGACGUGCGGGCUUCGUAUCCGCCGCUGGAGGUCGUUCUCGACUCUCUUGAACGUCGUGGCUGCUGCGAUGUCGUGGUCGUGGUGAGCAAGCGCAGAGGCGGCGCCGUUCCCAGCGGGCUCACAGAGUACGAGGCACUGCUGUGUAGGGAGCGGAACGUCGAGGUGGUGCAGCCGGAGCCAGCGCGCUUCAAGGCAGCAUCGGUUGGCGCGAUGGAGACGAGCGUCGCCGAUCUGCCAAUGCCUGUAAUUCGAGACGAGGACGACACACAGGCCACACGCGGGGCGGACCGGCUGCACGAGCUGCUGCACUGUGUGCAGUGGGGGCAGACGCACCUCGUCAAGCGCGCAGCUUCCCUGGGAACGUGCCUCGCGGACCGCGGCAGUAACUCAUGUCUUUUACUGGCCUGCGGGCAGACUCCGUUCGAGGAAGAGGCGUGGGUGCGCGACGUACUCGCAGCCUUAAACGCGGCACCGUCUAGUACACGCAGCAAGAGCGCAACUGCAUCUGCCGAAGAUUACCUGCGUCUCGCUGCCCCUACCAUUGCAGCGGCUCUUGGGGCUGAACACGGUGACGACAGUGCGGACCUCGGAGAACACCCAACCAGGGCAGCUGUUGGGGUCGACGUCUCCACACCAUACUUCAAUGCGCGUGUUGAGGUGCAGGUAGAGGGUGGUCUACACUCAUACUACGCGGCGCCACCGACGCAACGCUCGGGUACGCGGGCAAUGCCGCCCGGGUGGGAAAACGCACACGAUGCCUAUGUGGUCGUUACAACCCUGUGCGCUCUCCAAGAAGCGGUGCGCGCGAUCGCCGGGCCCGCUCGGCAUGCGGCGGUCGACAAUCCCAGCAGCCGCGAGGCUGUCAGUGGAUCGCACAGCACCCUGGGCACGGUUAUCAGCACCCUUGCUCGGCGGCAGAGAGAGAUAUGGAUGGCGGAGCAGAUCAACGCCUGCGUGGCGCACCAGACUAGCCAGAAGGCGUCCAACGCGGCCGCUGACUCACCGCUUGUCCUGCUGUACAUCGCGGACGUACCGGCAGCGGAUGCGAUGCGUGCGGAGCUGGUGGAGCAGCUGGUCUGUGCGCUGGCACGCCCCACCGCAGCGCCUGCUGCAGCUUCGCUGGGCGAGAACGGCAGCGACAGCGCCGAAGAUGCCGAUGGCUACGUGCCCAUCGAGUUGGUGUUUGCGAGUGAGCCUGUGGGCGUGACAGCUGUCGCCGCUACGACAGGCCACUACGACGGUUUCGUUCUGGACGGCACCGCGCGUGUGCGCGAAGCGUUUGAGCAGCAUCUGUGGCCGCAUCGGCAGUCCCUGUCACACCAACACCACCGUGUCAGCAACAUCCGUCCCACCACCCAUGCUAGAGAGGAAGCUGCAAGUCCGCGGGGCUCCGUCGAGGCUGCCGGCGCGACCACUGCUGACUUUUUUGCCAACGAAGUAACUUGUGCGACGCCUCCUCCGGUGGAAGCAGCAGCAGUGCCUGCCACCACAAGAGCGAGCGCUGCAGUACCCAGAGAAACGGUGACGGUUGAUGCCUCAUGGGUGGCACCGGUCAUCGGCUGUGCGCUACCGAACGGCUACCUUGUCGACCCCGAGACACUGCGGAGCGUACCGGUGAGGGUUGUGCGAGACGCCCCAUGGAAUACAGCGAAGAUCGCAGACGUCGAAGGCAGACAGGGUCAUGGUGAGGCAUCAGCUCAGCAUCACGAGCCUCUGCCACAAGCCCACAAUGAUGAGGAGCUCAUGCAGUGGAUGGAGAAGAUGAAGCGCUACGGUCACCGCCUCGGCGAGGCACUGCGCAAAGAGCAGGCGGAAGUGCUUGCCCUUGCGCUUGAGAAGAUGCUGUAGCGCACGCGUUGAUGCACCGCGCCUUUUCCUCUUACUAGCGCGCGGAGGCGCGCGCACACAC